UACAGAGGGUGCAAGCGUUAAUCGGAAUUACUGGGCGUAAAGCGUGCGUAGACGGUUAUGUAAGUCAGAUGUGAAAGCCCCGGGCUUAACCUGGGAAUGGCAUUUGAGACUGCAUAGCUAGGGUGCGGAAGAGGGAAGCGGAAUUUCCGGUGUAGCGGUGAAAUGCGUAGAUAUCGGAAGGAACACCAGUGGCGAAGGCGGUUCUCUGGAACGGUACUGACGCUGAGA
rnacentral:rRNA from 1 species